rnacentral:lncRNA from 1 species
AUGAGGAAUCCCCCGGCAGGCACUUUUGGGGAGAGAAAUCACCUUGUUGAGACAAGCCWGCCGUCCCGGGGGGACGCUGCAGCCUCUGCACGGAAGCAAGCGCUGASCGACGUGGCGGUUGCCCCGAGACGGAGCCCCAAGGAUCAGAGUGAUUUACCCGGUGACGUCAGCCCGCCCGCAGGCUUUCUCGUGACCGCUGAAGAGCCGAAAGGCAGGGGCUGUCUGCAAGCGGCAGCAGCCGGGCUCACCGGGGGCUGGGAUCAGCGCUGCUGGCAGCUUCCCAGCUACCGUGGCAUCGCCACCACAAGGGCUCUGCACUGGAGCAGCAGGAGACCGGCACCAAGCCUCGGAGAACAUCAGUGGACCAUGCACCAGCACCGCCCACCAGCACAUAGCCACCUCUCGGAGUGACCAGGCGGAGCACAAGUCCUCAGCCUGUUUCACGUGGAGAAGGGCUAGGAGAGAGGGGCAAUGGCAAGGCCACGAAUCAGCCAGACCUGCCUGAAGAGCCAGAGGCAGACCUAGGUGAGCUCCAUGCUAGCGUCUCUGCUGGGCUGCCCAGCUCCAGCACCACAGGGUUGCUGGCGAGCAGAGCUGGUGGCCCAAGGCAGGAGCCAGGUCCCAAGAACAUUAGCAGUGUCCCUGUUUUUAAGGCCUUUCCUGGCUGGGAGGCUGUCUAGGGGCUGUCAAAGGUAGUGGGGAGAGAAGCAAAGCUGCAGGAGGUUGUGGUUAUGAGGAGGGGAGGGAAGGGUUUUAAGGGCCAGAGGAAGGUGAGGGAGAGCUGGGCAGGAGGGAGAGCUGGGCAGGAGAAACACCAGCUCCUUUGCAUGGUUCUCGUCUCCCAUAGGCUCCAGGUGCUGAAGGGCCUUUCCCUGCACCCAGGGGCCCCAGCACACAUCUGGGUGGUAGGUGGAGGUCUCUCAUCUGCUCCGUGGGUGAGAUAACACAGGAGAUAGCAAAGGCGCAGGGGAGCUACACAAUAAAUGCCAGGUUUGAGGAGUUUGGGUGGGUUGU